AGGAUGAACGCUGGCGGCGUGCUUAAUACAUGCAAGUCGAGCGGUAAGGCCCCUUCGGGGGUACACGAGCGGCGGACGGCUGAGUAACGCGUGGGAACGUACCCCGAAGUGAGGGAUAAGCACCAGAAAUGGUGUCUAAUACCGCAUGUGCUCUAAGGAGUAAAGCUCCGGCGCUUCGGGAACGGCCUGCGUCCGAUUAGCUUGUUGGUGAGGUAAUGGCUUACCAAGGCGACGAUCGGUAGCUGGUCUGAGAGGAUGACCAGCCAGACUGGGACUGAGAACGGCCCAGACUCCUACGGGAGGCAGCAGUAGGGAAUUUUCCACAAUGGACGAAAGUCUGAUGGAGCAACGCCGCGUGCAGGAUGAAGGCCUUAGGGUCGUAAACUGCUUUUAUGUAUGAAGAUUAUGACGGUAGUACAUGAAUAAGGAUCGGCUAACUCCGUGCCAGCAGCCGC
rnacentral:rRNA from 1 species